rnacentral:rRNA from 1 species
UACGGAGGGUGCAAGCGUUAAUCGGAAUUACUGGGCGUAAAGCGCACGUAGGUGGUUUGUUAAGCCAGCUGUGAAAUCCCUCGGCUCAACCGGGGAACUGCGUCCGAUACUGGAUGGCUCGAGUUCGGGAGAGGGAUGCGGAAUUCCAGGUGUAGCGGUGAAAUGCGUAGAUAUCUGGAGGAACACCGGGUGGCGAAGGCGGCAUCCUGGACCGACACUGACGCUGAGGAGCGAAAGCCAGGGGAGCAAACGGG